UUAUGUUUUACACUAGUUGAUUUCAGGGAAAAAAAAAUUAAGCCUGAACUCCAAUUAGUUAAGUUUGAAAUCCAAUUAGUUAAGUAUGAAGUCCAAUUAGUUAAGCCUGAAAAAAAAUAUUUAAAAUAUUUAUUUUUCGAAAAAAAUAAAAUUGAAAAUAUUUUGUUCAGGAAAAAAAAUUUAAGCCUGAAAUCCAAUUAGUUAAGCCUGAAAUCCAAUUAGUUAAGUAUGAAGUCCAAUUAGUUAAGCCUGAAAAAAAAAAAAAAAUUAAAAUUUUAAUUUUCAGAAAAAAAUAUAUUUAAAAUUUUAAUUUUCGAAAAAAGAAAAAAAUAAUCAGAAAAAAAAAAUUUAAGCCUGAAAUCCAAUUAGUUAAGUUUGAAAUCCAAUUAGUUAAGUUUGAAAUCCAAUUAGUUAAGUAUGAAGUCCAAUUAGUUAAGCCUGAAAAAAAAAAUUCCGAAAAAAAAAUUCAAAUAAAAAAAAAAAUUAAUUUUUUUUUUUAAAAAAAAAUCCAAAAAUAUUACAUGAUGACGUCAGCAUGACGUCAUCACAUGUGCCAACAGGGCUGCCAACAUGGCUGCCAACAAGGCGGUCUUACCGUAAGGCGGUCUUACACAAAAGUUUCUCAAAACCUAAACCCUUGUUCGUUUCUUCGCUCAAUUCUCUGCCUGACUUCUAAUUAUUCUUCCCAGACUAAAGCAACAAAAUUCAGAAAAAAAAAACCCAUACAAAUUUCAAAGCUUCCAUCGCCGGCGACCUUUGCUGAUACACGACCAUUGCUGUAAAUCACUCUCAAACGCCGGCGACCUUUUCAACGAGGACUGCUCUUUGUCUCAGAUCCGAGAAAAUACUAUGUUAAUUUGUCUGAGAUUUAGAACGAAUCAAUUCGCACAAACCUACAUCCCUCCUCAGAAAAGAUGAACAGGAGUGUGGAAACAAUUGGACACACUAAUGCUUCACUGCUGUUUCGUUCAAAGUUUUGGGAGUUCAAUAUGUAUCCAGCCCCAAUUCCCUUUAGGCCUCUCCUGCUUCCUAGUCGUCACUCCGCACUCCAGUUGUUCAUGCUUCACCACCUCACCACUUGUUUUUCAUUCUCUAUCAUUACAAGGUAGUUUGGUUUCUUCUACCCUAUUUAGUUUCAAUUUUACAGUUUUAAUUCCCCUAAUAUCAUCUACUUUUUGUAAUCUGAAGUAUCAAUCGAUUGUAAGGUGAUGUUAAUGAUUGUUGAUUGCUGCUGAGUAACCCUAGAAUUUCUACUCGAGGAAAUUGAUUCUCAAAUUUCAAGAAUUACGAGGUAAUUUCUUAAUAUUCCGUUAAUCAACUUCUUAAUCUUGCUAGGAAAUCGAUUUAUUUUGAGUUGAUUUUUUUUUUGGUUCUGGGUUAAACCUAAUUCGAUUUGAGUUAGUUACGUAGAUUGUUUUAGGGAUUUUAGAUUUUGUUAAAUUAAACUCUCUUUUUUUGGAUUUUAGGGUUUAAUUUAAUUGGGUUUCGUUUAGUGAAUUCGAUGAGUUAUUUGAAUGAAGUUUUGAAUUUUUUAUUCUAUAAUUGAGUGGUAAAACUUUCUCAAAUGGGAAGGUGGUGUGGGUGGAUCAGAAGGAAAAAGAAAAACCUCUCUAGUCAGUUUGGAAAAGAAAUGACUCUGAAUCUUUCUCGUGGGUUGUUUAGCUGAAAUAGUCCUUGAUAUUUUUAGAUUUGUCAAAUUGCUGAUCUAAUUGAUAAUGUACACUAAUUAUAAUAGUUUGGAUGCAUCUUUUGAUGGGUUAUAGGUUAAACAACUGUUUUUGUAGUUUGGUUGUUUUUGAGUUAUCUUUUGAUGAACUAUAGUUUCUCGGCUUACUGGAAUACGAAGUAUAAUACUUCUUGUGGGUAAAUUAUCCUUUGUUGAAUGCAGAGUUUACAUUCAAUAAGGAAUCACCUUAAACAUCAUCAUCUCUAAUUUUCAAUCCGUGGCCUUGAUUUUGCUAUAGAUCGACCCUAGUUCCCGCAGGUAUGACCUAAUGCUUGCAAUACCCUCAAUAAUCCUAGAGUGUGAGCAUUAUGACCUAAUUUACCAUAAAUACCUGAAUUCAUCUUUCUGUCCAAAACCAAUUCAAUGAACUCAACAAUUUUAAAGGUUUAUAUAUUCCAAUCACCGGGCGAAGAGAGAGAAUAUAAUUAACAAUACUUUAUGAGUCUUUAGAUUAUUUCGAACUUUGUGUUCCUUUUCUCAUUUUGUAUCUUUAUAUUGUUAUGGUUCAUGAUGAAUGCUUGUAUUUGUAGUGAUAUAUUUGGGUGUUCGUACUUGCAACUGCAUGCCGAAAGAUCUUAUCAUCGUAUAUUUUCUUCUGAUCUGCUUAUGCUUCCUAUUACCUUAUGACUUUUAUGAAUCUGGGAUUGGUGCUCGCUGCUUAUUUUAAAGGCAAAGAAAGAACCGGUAUGGCAGGACCCUAUGAUUAGAGAAAACUCAAUUUCGUUUUUUGGUGUUGGAACUUGGAAGUGUUGCUUAUAACUGAAAGUCUAAGUUAGUAGCUGAUGGAAGAGCAUUAUCACCUUUGCCUUUAUGUAGUCUCCUAGCAAUGUUAUAAUCAAUCGCCCUCCUUGCUCGGACUUUGCCGUUUAAUUUUUAGCUUCAUUUCUAUGAUGUGGAUAUGAGCAAAUGAUGGUACUGUGUGCUUCUGUAAUUAGUCCUUAAUAUUUUCUUUAUAGAUAAAUUAAUUCCCAUUGCUUUUUCUGUUUUUUUAUUUCCUUCUGACAUAUAUGACAGUAAAAACUUGUAUUAUUUGGAAUUGGCGGUGAUGCAUUGUAAUGGAAAUCAGAGUUACUUGCUAAUGGAGUAGCAUCUUCUCUUGGUUUUUCAUCCAGAGAGAGCUGGUGAUCAAGAGAGACAUAUCUGGUGAGUUAACUACUACACCAUUUAAAUAUCCACAUCUUACUUUCAUUAGUUGUCAUGUAAGAGUUAUAUAUUUUCAGUAAUCAACGGCUGCAUGAAAGAAUGAGAUCAAUGUGCAACUUAAGAUUAGUCGUGGAUUAUUUGAGCUAGUGUAAUAUAAUAUAGCCCUAUGUUGAGGCUGUAGAAACAUAACAUUAAUGGGUGCAUGAACAUAAGUUGGUGAAAUCUCAAAGGAAAAGCGUCGUAGAAUCAUGGAUAUUGCCGUUUGAGCUGCAGGCAAAAGAAAUCUUUUCCCUAUGCAUAUUGUUGGUUCUUUGACAUUUUGUAGUAUUAUAUGGAGUAAAAAGAUAUAAAAUGUUGUAAGAUGGGAAGCAUUAGCUACUAUUUUUUUUGCAUUUAAUUACAUUUUUUACUACUUUCUUUAA